UGUUAAUUAUCGCUUUAGCCACACACACCUUUUACCCCCAAACCAACCCCUUUUAUUCCCCCUUGAUUAAUUUUUGAUGUACAUGCAUACAUACUUAUACAUACAUAUGUGAUGUUCAAUUGAUGGCUGAACAGAGCUCUAUAUAGUAUUCUGUAUUUGUAUUAUGCUGGGCAAUAUGUAUAUUAGUGUAGAUCUCUUAUCACCUUAAAAAACUCUAAGGCUUCACUCUCGAACUCGAAACUAUUUGGGCUUUGAACAAAACACAAAACAUCCAUACGCACAAUCGCACAUCUGUACACAUAUACAUACAUAAACACACACACACACUCUCGAAUCAUUUGGUGAUUUUUGUGUGUCAACUAGAGUAAUCUAUUACAAUAGUCAAAGAUUCGUUUCUGUCGUAAUUGUAUAAUUGUAUUUGCACAUAUAGCUUAUAUAGCUAGCAUAUACUAGCUUCACAUACACACAUGCAUAUACCUAUUAAUGUUCAUAUUUGUCAAAUAUAAGGGCUGUUCCAAGAAUGCUUUAUUUUCAAAUCUAUCAAAAUCUUAUUUAUUAAUCUGAUGCAAUUUACAAUGCUAAGGAUAAUAUAUAAGAGUUAUCUAGUCUGAAGUCUCCGAUUACGAAAUACCCUGCCAAAAAAUAGACGCAUACCAUGCUCGGCGUGGAUUUGCGUAGCCGUAGAUCAUCAGAGCUAUAAGAUGGGCCACACCUUUUAGCAAGGUGGAAUGUCAUAUCCGCCUAACUUGCAUUCUAUUGUUACUAUCAUAAAUGUCGAGAGUAUCGUGCUAGUAAACCCCUAUGGGCUAUACGUCACUUUAAAUAAACCUUCAAUUCCGACACACAAACAUGUUGCAAGUUGCGCUUCUUUUCUAUGGAAAUCUGCCCGAACAUUAAAAAUGUUUCAGGACACAAAGAUGACGUUCAAUUUAAAAACAAUUUUUACUUUUAUAAUUGUUAUUUCAUAUUUUUAUACAUAAUGCAAACAUGCUAGUACCUGGUACACUAGAAAUCAAGAAACUACUUAUCUGUGUUUAUACUGAUAGUGACGUGUUCAUAGGGACGGAAAGACAGACUCGAUUUUUGAUGUUCAUCAAAGAAAUAUAUAGACUUUAGAGGCCCAACAUUUUGGCCAGUAUUUAAUGCAUAUAGGGGUAUUCAAAAUAAUAUAAUUCAUUUAGAGUUUUUUGUAAGAAAAGUAAAAGUAACAAUUUAUUUCCGUGAGGUUUUUAAUUACAGAAAUAGGGAACAGUCGUAUGCGUGUAGCUGUGCGUGUGCUUUGAUACAUAUGUAUGUAUGUGUGUGUGUGUGUGUAUAUAUGCAAAGUGCGCUUGUGUGAGUGUGUGUUACUUUAGUAUAUAAAACUAUUUUUAAUCAGCUUUGACUGCGCGUUUCAUGUUGUGCAUUAUCCAAAAGUCACAAGUAGCCCAUGACAUACACUUACCUGGUCGCAAAACCUAGACCAACCACAACCCCCCACUGCCUGCCCACCUUUUCACGCACAUUCGCAUAUGUACAUGUAUUUACAUGUGUAUGUGCAUAUGUUUGAUAGUCAUAUCCAGCCAGGCACACCCAUGUUGGCUCUGCAUAAACGCAUGGCAGUUCGCGCCCCUCCUCCCCAUAUUCCCCACACAUACACCCUCUAGAGCUUUAACUGUGUAUUUACCGUUCUUUUUCUGACACUCGUUUGACAGUUGGCGGCAUUUUGAAGUUACUUUUCUAGUUUUUGCAAACUUGUCAUUUGUUUUCGUUCUCUUGUUGUUGUUCUUUCGCUGUUAAGUGGUCAUAUAUGUACAUACAUACAUAUGUAAGUGUACGUACAUGUGUGCGUGUGUAUGUUGAAAGCUGCGAUAAGACGGCGAAUGCGUCAUGACCACAAACAUAGACCCACCCGCCGCGCUACGGCAAUGGAAUGUUUUCGCCAGGCCAAACCACUUGUUGGCACAGCUCCAAUGGCACCACCAACAACAACAACAGCAGCAUUACCAACUGCAACAACAGCCCCAGCUACUGCAACAACAACAACAAAUGUGGCUCGCCCUUGUGCUAUCCUCAUACAUACAUAUGUAUGUGAAAACAUUUGCUGUUGGCAUCGGGCGGCGUUAAAAAUUCAAAAUUCCCAGUAUGUUUAAUGUGACGAUGCAUUCAUUGUUCGUAAGUGCGUAUAUGUGUGUGUCUGUGGGGCAUAAAUACAUAUGCACACGUAUUUAUAUCAAAUAUAUGGCGUAUGCAUGCGUAUGUACUAUGCAUGUAUUUGUCAUAAAUCUGCAAAAUGAAAUAAAACAUAUAGGGCGUACCAUCAACUGAUAAACCAAUUUAACGCAUGACUUAUCCAUGUCGAUGACAACUUGAAUAUUUAUCCUUCUCUUGAUUUCGAUGGCAGUUAAAUUUGUGCAAGUCAUCGUCACAAUUUUUCGACUUCAUUAAUCAUUUGUAUUGGUCGCCCACAAAUUAAAAUGCUUUGGUUUCAGAGCAUAUUCUUAAUUCUGAAAGUUCGCAAUCCUUAUACAAAAAAAAAUUGAAAAUUUAUGAUUGCAAUAAUAUAUUUUAUAAUUUUAUUAAGUGAGUCAUACGUUUUUCGCAAAAAAAUUAUUUAAAAAUACAAAAUACAAUGACUUUUAUGUCUGGGCAGCUACCAUUUCUUAUCGACCUUAUUUGCGACUUUUUCUAAACCAUAAUCAUAGCCUUAAAAAU